rnacentral:rRNA from 1 species
UACGGGGGGGGGCAAGCGUUGUUCGGAAUUACUGGGCGUAAAGGGCGCGUAGGCGGCCAACUAAGUCGGAUGUGAAAUCCCCAGGCUCAACUUGGGAACUGCAUCCGAUACUGGUCGGCUUGAAUCCGGGAGAGGGAUGCAGAAUUCCAGGUGUAGCGGUGAAAUGCGUAGAUAUCUGGAGGAAUACCGGUGGCGAAGGCGGCAUCCUGGACCGGCAUUGACGCUGAUGUGCGAAAGCCAGGGGAGCAAACGGG